rnacentral:rRNA from 1 species
GACGAACGCUGGCGGCGUGCUUAACACAUGCAAGUCGAACGGAAAGGCCCUGCUUUUGUGGGGUGCUCGAGUGGCGAACGGGUGAGUAACACGUGAGUAACCUGCCCUUGACUUUGGGAUAACUUCAGGAAACUGGGGCUAAUACCGGAUAGGAGCUCCUGCUGCAUGGUGGGGGUUGGAAAGUUUCGGCGGUUGGGGAUGGACUCGCGGCUUAUCAGCUUGUUGGUGGGGUAGUGGCUUACCAAGGCUUUGACGGGUAGCCGGCCUGAGAGGGUGACCGGCCACAUUGGGACUGCGAUACGGCCCAGACGCCUACGGGAGGCAGAAGUGGGGAAUAUUGCACAAUGGGCGGAAGCCUGAUGCAGCAACGCCGCGUGCGGGAUGACGGCUUUCGGGUUGUAAACCGCUUUCGCCUGUGACGAAGCGUGAGUGACGGUAAUGGGUAAAGAAGCACCGGCUAACUACGUG